rnacentral:tRNA from 1 species
ACUAUUUUGGCAGAAUGAAUGCAUUUGAUUUAGAUUCUUUUUAAAUAGUUUUUCUAUAGAUAGUU